AUUGAACGCUGGCGGCAGGCCUAACACAUGCAAGUCGAGCGGAUGAAGGGAGCUUGCUCCUGGAUUCAGCGGCGGACGGGUGAGUAAUGCCUAGGAAUCUGCCUGGUAGUGGGGGAUAACGUCCGGAAACGGGCGCUAAUACCGCAUACGUCCUGAGGGAGAAAGUGGGGGAUCUUCGGACCUCACGCUAUCAGAUGAGCCUAGGUCGGAUUAGCUAGUUGGUGGGGUAAAGGCCUACCAAGGCGACGAUCCGUAACUGGUCUGAGAGGAUGAUCAGUCAAAGUGGAACUGAGAAACGGUCCAGACUCCGACGGGAGGCAGCAGGAGGGAAUCUUGCGCAAUGGUCGAAAGCUUGAAGGAGCAACGCCGCGUGAGUGAGGAAGGUCUUCGGAUCGUAAAACUCUGUUAUUAGGGAAGAAAAAAAGUGUAAGUAAAUAUGCACGCCUUGACGGUCCCUAAGCAGAAAGCCACCGCUAACUACGUG
rnacentral:rRNA from 1 species